UACGUAGGGGGCAAGCGUUGUCCGGAAUCAUUGGGCGUAAAGCGCGUGUAGGCGGCCAGAAAAGUCCGCUGUGAAAACUCGAGGCUUAACCUCGAGCUGUCGGUGGAAACUUUCUGGCUAGAGUCCGGAAGAGGAGAAUGGAAUUCCUGGUGUAGCGGUGAAAUGCGCAGAUAUCAGGAAGAACACCCGUGGCGAAGGCGGUUCUCUGGGCCGAUACUGACGCUGAGGAGCGAAAGCGUGGGGAGCGAACAGG
rnacentral:rRNA from 1 species